rnacentral:rRNA from 1 species
UGCGUAGGCGGGUUGGCAAGUCGGGUGUGAAAUUCCAUAGCUUAACUAUGGACCUGCAUUCGAAACUGUUGAUCUUGAGUACUGGAGAGGUGAGUGGAAUUCUCGGUGUAGCGGUGAAAUGCGUAGAUAUCGAGAGGAACACCGUUGGCGAAGGCGGCUCACUGGACAGAUACUGACGCUGAGGCACGAAGGUCGGGGAGCAAACA